rnacentral:tRNA from 1 species
GUUCCCAUAGUUGAAUCACAACGAGGGUUUUUCGUGCCCUAGGUCCCGGUUGGAUUCCGGGUGGAAAUU